rnacentral:lncRNA from 1 species
UGGGGGGAGGGGUGGGCAGGUUGACAAGGUUGAGUAUUGGGGCUCAUUAGAGUUGCCACCAUGUUUUUGGAAAAAGAAAGAAAAAUUAGAAAAUAUUAUGCUAAAAGAUUGGACAAAACCAAGGAACAAGAACAGCUAAAAGUAUAAAAGGUGAAGGGUUAACACUUGUUGUCCCCAACCAUACUUACUCUCUUAAGGGUAGGUAUCAGGUGCUACUAAUGAACACUAUUUCAGGUGGCAUUCAUUAGU